rnacentral:rRNA from 1 species
UACUACCGAAGCUACGGCAUCAGUAAUGAUGGGUAGGGGAGCUUCCCAUACGGGUUGAAGCAUGACCGUAAGGACAUGUGGACAGUAUGGGAGUGAGAAUGUUGGCAUGAGUAGCGAGAUGUGGGUGAGAAUCCCACAGGCCGUAAACCCAAGGUUUCCAGGGGAAGGUUCGUCCGCCCUGGGUUAGUCGGGACCUAAGCUGAGGCCGAAAGGCGUAGGUGAUGGACAACAGGUUGAUAUUCCUGUACUACCGAUAACCGUUUGAGAGAAGGGAGGACACAGUAGGAUAAGCUAAGCACACUGUUGGUUAUGUGUGCCCAAGCAUUGAGGCAGUCAAAGUAGGCAAAUCCGCUUUGAUAAUGCUGGGAUGUGAUGGGGAGCGAAAUUUAGUAGCGAAGUAGCUGAUUUCACACUGUCAAGAAAAGUCACAAGAGAUGGUAAAGGUACCCGUACCGCAAGCCGACACAGGUG